ACACGACUACAUUAGAUACCCCCGUAGUCCUAGCCGUAAACGAUACUCGCUAGGUGUCGGCCACGGUGCGACCGUUGUCGGUGCCGUAGGGAAGCCGUGAAGCGAGCCACCUGGGAAGUACGGCCGCAAGGCUGAAACUUAAAGGAAUUGGCGGGGGAGCACAACAACGGGUGGAGCUUGCGGUUUAUUGGAUUCAACGCCGGAAAUCUUACCGGGACCGACAGCAACAUGAAGGCCAAGCUGAAGACUUUGCCGGAUUAGCUG
rnacentral:rRNA from 1 species